CGGCGUCCCCCUCCCUUGCCAGGCGGGCGAAGAAGGCCGCGGUUAUCGAUCCCGCUGCUGACUAGAGGGAGGAGGAAGCAUCAGCAGAGAAAAUGGCGGCCGUGGCUGCGACUGCGGCGGUGCCGGGUGAUGGUGGAGCCGGCGAGGCCGAGCCCAUCCCGGGCAGCGAGGCCGGCGCAGACCCGCUCCCGGCUGGCACUCAGGCCGCCGUGGAGUCGGCGGUGCUCGACGCCCGGGAGGAGCCCGAGCCAGCCCCGGGGGGAGAGGCCGAGGUGCCGCCGCCGCCGCCGCCGCCCGGGAGCCCAGCGGGGACCCGAGACCUGCCGCAGGCCCAGCCCAGCCCGGAGCCCGUCGGAGGGUCGCCUCAGCCGCCCGGCCCGCUCACCGCGGAGCUCUCCGAGCUCCCCCCCGGCGAGGAGGCGGAGGGACAAGGCGGAGGGGAGCAGCCGCCCUGCUUGCCGCUGUCGCCGCCGCCGCCUGCAGCUGGGGGCCCCGCGGGGCCGGAGCCCGGAGAGGAACCGCCCCGGCCGGAGGAGGAGGAGCCGGAUGCUGCCGCCACCGCCGUUGCGAAGCAGCCGGAGCUCUCUGCGCCCGCGGAGCAGGCGGUGGCCGCUGGAGGAGAGGAAGAUGAGGAGGAGGAAGCGGCGGCGGUGCUGCUGCCCGGCUCGGAGGUGCUGGUCACCCUGGAUCACAUCAUCGAGGACGCGCUGGUGGUGUCUUUCCGAUUCGGGAAGAAGCUUUUUUCCGGGGUCCUCAUGGAUCUUUCCAAGAGGUUUGGACCGCACGGAAUCCCUGUGACCAUAUUUCCCAAAAGGGAGUACAAGGAUAAUCCUGAAGCGAUGGAGCUCCAAAGUAAAUCAUUCCAAGAUGAGACCCAAGUGAAGUGUGAAGCCAAUGGUGUAGUCACAGACUCUUCUCCCAUCCAGCCAUCAGAGCCUAGCCUGGCUAAAAGCCUAUGGACUUCCAAGCCACCUCCCCUUUUUCACGAGGGAGCACCAUAUCCUCCUCCUUUGUUUAUCAGGGACACAUAUAACCAGUCAAUACCUCAGCCUCCGCCUCGGAAAAUCAAACGGCCCAAGCGGAAAAUGUACAGGGAGGAACCCACUUCUAUUAUGAAUGCUAUCAAACUACGACCCAGACAGGUCUUGUGUGACAAGUGUAAGAACAGUAUUGUUGCAGAAAAGAAAGAAAUUAAGAAGGGCAGCAGUACAAGUGAUUCCUCAAGGUAUGAGGAUAAUAGAAAACGAAGACAUGAGAGCGUAACUACUGUGAAUAAAAAAAUUAAAACUGAUCAUAAAGUUGAUGGGAAAAGCCAAAAUGAAAGCCAGAAAAGGAAUUCCGUGGUCAAAGUUGCAAAUAUUGCUCACAGCAGAAGUAGAGUAGUCAAAGUUACCACUCAAGCAAAUACUUCAAAAACGCAGUUAAAUACUAAAAAGGUUCUCCAGAGCAAAAACAUGGAUCAUGCAAAAGCUCGGGAAGUUUUGAAAAUAGCCAAAGAGAAGGCACAAAAGAAACAGAGUGCAACCUCUACUUCCAAAAAUGCACAUUCAAAGGUCCACUUCACACGGCGUCUUCAAAACACCAGCUCAGGUUCCCUGCCCCCACGAUUGCGUCUAAAGCCACAAAGGUACCGAAAUGAAGAAAACGACUCCUCUCUCAAGACAGGGCUUGAGAAAUUGCAGAGUGGCAAGAUGGCAGCUAAGCCUCAGUCUCGCUGCUCCUCUACCCGCUCAGCAGGUGAGGCCCCUUCAGAAAAUCAGAGCCCCUCAGAAGGCCCUGAAGAGGCCAGCAGUGAGGUUCAGGACACAAAUGAAGUGCAUGUACCUGUUGAUCAGGAUGAACAGCAGACACUGGGCAAGAGAGGCAGCAAAAGCAAUAUAACGGUUUACAUGACCCUUAAUAAAAAGAAAUCUGACUCUUCCAGUGCAUCAGUGUGUAGUAGUGAUAGCACAGAUGACUUGAAGUCCACCAACUCUGAGUGUAGCACUACUGAAAGCUUUGAUUUUCCUCCAGGCAGCAUGCAUGCACCUUCCUCCUCCUCCUCCUCGUCCUCUUCAAAGGAAGAGAAAAAGCUCAGUAAUUCCUUGAAAAUGAAAGUCUUUUCAAAAAAUGUCACUAAAUGUGUCACACCAGAUGGCAGGACCAUAUGUGUAGGAGACAUUGUUUGGGCCAAGAUAUAUGGCUUCCCAUGGUGGCCAGCCCGUAUUCUUUCUAUAACUGUGAGCCGAAAAGAUAACGGCCUCUUAGUCCGACAGGAAGCUCGUAUUUCAUGGUUUGGGUCCCCAACAACAUCUUUCCUUGCUCUUUCACAGCUCUCCCCUUUUUUAGAAAACUUUCAGUCGCGAUUUAAUAAGAAGAGAAAAGGUCUUUACCGCAAGGCCAUUACAGAAGCAGCCAAGGCUGCUAAGCAGCUAACUCCUGAAGUUCGGGCCCUGCUGACACAGUUUGAAACAUGAACAUGAGAAGUAAGCCUAGGUUUUCUUCAUUUUCAUGGCUUCAGUCCCUUGGCGCUUCCAGAAGCACAGAGACAUUAAUCGCCUGCUGUAUUUAUGGAACCUCCCUACACUGCCAUGAAGAAGGUCAGCUGGCCAGGCAUGAUAUACAACUGAAAUCUAGAUUGCAGUGUAUACUGGGAGAGAACUUUUUACAAAAACCACCACACCCCUUUUCCAGGGCAUCUGUACUUACUGUAAAUUUACUUUGGAAUUUGAAGUGUUAGAAAUAUUUUAUAAACUUUUUUUGCAAUAAAUAAGGCAUGAGCCAAGGAGCCUGUUCAAGAUGAACUUGCAAGGAACCACUUGAAUUACUAGUAUGAAGAAUCACAAAGUGUACUCUUACUCUUCAAAUGUGAUAGUCUGAAUAGGCCCUAGCAGUGGAGUCAAGACCUCUGGAAAGUUGGCUGUAAACUUCUGAACAUUUACUUUUGUUCUUACUGUGUGUUAUUUCACAUCUUAACAAACUUUAGUAUUUGGUGCAGGUGUUAGCAGAGCUGUAACCUAUUUCUGGAAGCACGUCCACAUUCAGCUGUGGUGUUAAGUACUGACAGUCCUGUUUGGAGGCAAAGGUUUCCCCUAGAGAUGGUGGUAAGGGCAGCGACAGUGAACUCCAUGUAAUUCUUGAGUAAUUAUGGCAAAUCUUUGCUGUUGUGGGAAAUGUUUCUUUGAUGGCCACGAAGAUCAUUCUGUAAAAUGCAGGAAUCACUGACAAUACACAAAUGUCUGUGUGCUUGUGAUUCUCUAGCAGUAGUCACCCUAAAGGACAGCUACAGCUAAGAUAGGGUAGUAACUGGUAUCCAAAGUCAUGUUUCCUUUCUAGUGAAGGAACAUAUUGCACAUUAAAUUAGUCCUGACUUGGUUGUGACUAACUUAUUCAUAACAGCCCGCUGUUAGAUUGGGGUUUUAGCAUUUCUAAAGUUAGUUGGUUUACAAGCCCUCUCCAAUAUAACAAGUCUUAACUCUUAUCUGCAGGACUUGAGUAUUUAACUGUCAGAUGGUUCCACAUUUCAAUGGAAUUCAACCUAGUUUUCCACAGGAUUGCACUCACUAUUAAAAUCUGCUUUUCAUAUUACCCAGGUAUAAAACCUUAAUUUGCAUUUAGUUUAUUAACAGCAGAUCAGGAUUCCCAGGAAGCUUGAUAAACACAAGUCAAAAUGAAUGCACAAUCUGAUGAAGUACAUAUAAACUAUGACAAUGCCAUCUACACAAGAGUUAAGUCUUGUAUGGCAUUAAGGUAACCAUCUACAGAUUAACAAAAUAUCUCUCUUUUCCAAAGUUACCCAUACCAGCAAAUACAAGCUGAAGUCUUGGCUUCAUAAUUUCCAUGCAUGUUGUAAUUAUACAAGAUUUUUUCCCUUGGCUUUGACAGAUUUAUAUUUUUAAAUAGCAUUCUAAACAUGGGAAAGAUGUAUGAGUUAGUAUAUUACAAUGCAAUUCUAUAUUAAAUAUUUACUAAAAAUGUCUGUGAAAACAUUUAAAAUUUUAUUUAUAAAAACAGUUCAUAGCACCUUUUUAAGAGGUUCAACUGUACCAGUUUUCUAAAGAAAUUAGAGAGGAUGUUUAAAGGACAACAAGCAAUUGCUUUGCAGUAGUCUUUCUACAAUAGUCAAAGCAAAAGAGAAAUAAAGUAUACUCUACAAUUUUCCAGCAAGAUUAGCUUAUUUGGGCAAGGUAAAAAGGUACUGCAGCGAGUCAGUGCAGUGUAGUUAAGACAAAAAUAAGCAUCCUUUUUAUUUAAAAGCAGGGUUGGGUGACUUCACUGGAGAAGGUGCACAUACCUUAGGAGGUAACCAUGGCACAAAAUGAUAGUUUUGACUCAGGAAAAUGGUGUUGGCUGUACAAAUAAGGGUACAUAUCUGGAUUGAUAAUGGGUGGAGCCAGUAGUGCCUGCAUAGACAUCUUACUUUUAGCCUGUGCUCCUAUUCCUUCUCCUUCAAGAGCACAACCGCUGCCCAUUUACAUCCAUGACACUGUACGAAGUGGUAGAACUACAGGUUUAUGGGCAAAAUAAAGACAGCAAGGUUGGAAAAUGGACAAAAUGGCUAGUUGGUACUUACUCAUGAAGAAUUGAGAAACUACAGCCACCUUGUUUUUCACUUUGAAAUGAUUGUCAGGGAAAAAUUGUAGUGGUAGAAGUAAUGUAUUGCUUUUCACCCUUUUGCUUUAGUUGCUUAAUAUUUAAGCUUUGCUCCAUGUUACCUUUUUUGUCUUGUUUGCUAUGUCACUAUGCCUCCUUCAUUUGGUAGACUUGAAUGAGGAAAAAUGAUUCAACUUUUAAGGGUCACUUGAAAUUAAUUGUUCAAGAAUGUUGUGUACCAUCUAUUCAAUAAAGCCUUGAUUUUUUUCCUGCACUUUUAAAAAA